GCCCUGGUGGAUCAAGGUCGAUCACCCUCAACUUGUCCCAUUGGAAUUUUCCGCAAAUUUAGAGGAAGGCGGAGGUUCGAAUCCUCCCUAGGGCA